CCUACGGGGGGUUGCAGUGGGGAAUAUUGGACAAUGGGGGGAACCCUGAUCCAGCCAUGCCGCGUGUGUGAAGAAGGCCCUCGGGUUGUAAAGCACUUUCAGUGAGGAAGAACGCCUGGUGGUUAAUACCCAUCAGGAAAGACAUCACUCACAGAAGAAGCACCGGCUAACUCCGUGCCAGCAGCCGCGGUAAUACGGAGGGUGCGAGCGUUAAUCGGAAUUACUGGGCGUAAAGCGCGCGUAGGUGGCUUGAUAAGCCGGUUGUGAAAGCCCCGGGCUCAACCUGGGAACGGCAUCCGGAACUGUCAAGCUAGAGUGCAGGAGAGGAAGGUAGAAUUCCCGGUGUAGCGGUGAAAUGCGUAGAGAUCGGGAGGAAUACCAGUGGCGAAGGCGGCCUUCUGGACUGACACUGACACUGAGGUGCGAAAGCGUGGGUAGCAAACAGGAUUAGAUACCCCGGUAGUC
rnacentral:rRNA from 1 species